AACACAAAAAAAGUAUAAGGAACAUAUCAACGCGUAUCAGCGACUUGGAAUGGCAGAGGAACAUUUGUAUGGUUGGUCAAGGGGCGACCCUCCACGGUGGAGGGCCAGGCGCUCCAGGAAACACAAGGAACAAAACCAGUGACUUGGAAUGGGGCUGGAAUGGCGCCGUGGAGAAACAAUGCCGUGAGGAACGAGAGAAACACUGAGUGACUCAGUCAUGUAAACGCAAACAUAACAAGGCAGCGCUGGGAUGACAAAUAAAUAGACAAAUAAAUGAAUAAAUAAAUAAAUACAGAUUCAUCGAUACAAAACCUCCAUUACUCUAAUUACGUAUCACCACCACCACCACCACCACCACUAAUAACAACAAUAAUAAUAAUAAUAAUGACAAUAAUAAUAACAAUAACAGCAGACAAAGCCAUCACCACAUUGCCAUGAAAAUGAUAAAAACAAUAAAAACUGACGACGGCAAAAAUAUUAACAAUAAUAAUGAUAAUAAUAAUAAUAAUAAUAAUAGCGAGAGAUCACGGGGGUAAGUUAAGUAAUUCAAUGUUUCCUUAGCCUAUGUUUUUUUGCUUUAUCUUACUUGCUGGCUUACUUAACUAGUCUUACUGGCAGCAACACACACACACACACACACACACACACACACACACAAGUUGGCAGCUGGUGGGUAGUAGUAACAAGCACAUUCAUACAUGCAGACACACGUACACUAAUCAUUCACACAUACAUACACACACGCACACACACACAUUGGCGGACUAAUAUCACAUCCCCGGACUGAACCCACCAAUCACAGCCCACCUUUUUUGGCAAUGAGGAAGCCCAUUGGUGGAUCGGUCCUGGCGAUGCACCAAUGGGCGGCUCCUCUCCCCUGCACUGGCUUGGCGGGGGAAGGCUAGUGGCUGGUUGUAUUUUGAACACACCAAUGAAGAUUUAGAGUUUAUCACAAUGUUUAACCCCACCACGCGUGGGAGCGGUGCUCAUCUCCGUCACACUGGCCCUUAAGUGAAUAAGAACGUAAGGAGUCUGCAAGAGGCCGGUAGGCCUGUACAAGGCAGCUCCUGUGAAAUGUUCCUUGAGCCUGUGGUGGGAAGAACCCACUACUCCGGGACACAGGCCCAAUGUGACAUCCGGGUCACCACAGUUUACCUUCCCCAGGUGCCAGGUACACAUUUAUCCACCAGCCCCAAAGGGAGGAGGAACAGCUGGGUGAGCUGUACACCGAAUGCCCGGGCCGGGGUUUGAACACAGGCCCACGGAUUCGUAGCAAAGCACACUAAGCACUCGACCACGGAGUGGUCAAAUUCGUUACCACCUCUUUCCAAGCUAGACACGCAGGGGGGUGGAGUGAGCCAGGCAGGCGUGUAGGCAGGCCAAUCAAGGCCCCCACACCUGCCGCCUCUCCUCAGGUGGGCACACACAGGUGGGUUCCGUAGCGAAGCGGGGACACCUACGUCACUACACACAGACGGACACCGACGGAUGCACGGACAGACAGACAGACAGACAGACAGAUAGAUUGACAGACGUACGUUCGGAUUGUGAGCUGGACUGACUGACUGACUGACUGACUGGAUACAAAUAAACACAGACAAUUCGGUAUAUUUUAACUGACUGACUGAGAUUGAAGGGACAGACAGACAGGCAGAGAUGCAGACAGACAGACAGAAACACCGGGGGACUUUGACGGUUAAAAAUGACUGGACUGACUGACUGACUGGUUGACUGACUGACUGAUUGGCAAAACUGGGACUGGACAGACAGGCAGACAGACACCAUGGAAGCUUUUGACAGUUAAAAUGAUUGACUGCCUGACUGAUUGACUGACUGACUGACUGGCUGACUGGUACUGGACUUGAAUUGAAUGAGUAUCUAUGCAGUAAGCUAUUAUUUUUUUUUCUUGUUUUUUUGUAGUUGUUUGAUGAUGGACUAUUGUGUGUGUGUGUGUGUGUGUGUGUGUGUGUGUGUGUGUGUGUGUGUGUGUGUUUGGGGUGAAAAUACUGGUUGAUUGUAGGUCUGAUUUGGUUUGGUUAGAUAAGGUAAGGUAAGGUAAGGUAAGGUAAGGUAAGGUUAGGUUAGGUUAGGUUAGGUAAGGUGAGAUAAGGUUAGGUAAGGUAAGGUAAGGUUAGGUAAGGUAAGGUUAGGUAAAAUUAGGUUAGGUAAAAUUAGGUUAGGUUCAGUAAGGCAAGGUUAAGUUAGAUCAGAUUAGGUAAGGUUAAGUAUGGUAAGGUUAGGUAAGGUAAGGUUGGGAAAGGUAAGGUUAGGUUAGGUAAGGUAAGGUUAGAUUUGGUUAGGUAAGGAUACAUUAGGUUAGGUUAAGUAAGGUUAGGUCAGAUUAGGUAAGGUUUGGUUAGGUAAGGUUAGAUUUGGUCAGGUAAGGAUACAUUAGGUUAGAUUAAGUAAGGUAAGGUAAGGUUAGGUCAGAUUAGGUAAGGUAAGGUUAGAUUUGGUUAGGUAAGGGUACAUUAGGUCAGGUUAAGUAAGGUAAGGUUAGGUUAGGUAAGGUUAGAUUUGGUUAGGUAAGGAUACAUUAGGUUAGAUUAAGUAAGGUAAGGUAAGGUUAGGUCAGAUUAGGUAAGGUUUGGUUAGGUAAGGUUAGAUUUGGUUAGGUAAGGAUACAUUAGGUUAGAUUAAGUAAGGUAAGGUAAGGUUAGGUCAGAUUAGGUAAGGCAAGGUGGGGUAAGGUAAGGUAAGGUAAGGCAAGGUGUCUGUAUACUAAAUUACGACUGUCAUCACCACUAUCACCACCACCACCUUCAUCACCACCAUCAUGUAAAAGCCAUAUGGAAAGCAGUAUCACCAUCACCACCACCAUCACCACUAAAACUACAGCUACAGAAUGACAAGUAAUGGUCCUCAAAUCCCCCUUCUCCCUCCUCCUCCUCCUCCUCCUCCUUGUCCUCCCCUUCUACUUCCCCCCUACACCUCCCCCUUCCUUUCCCCUCCACCGACACAGCUUACAAAAGAAUCACAGAACAGUAAAUGUAAUACAGGGAGCGAUGAGACAGACAGGCAGACAGACGGACGUGAUAUUCUGUCUGUUUCCGAGUCUUGUUGUUUGCAGAAGUUGGUUGUUUGUUUGUGGUUUUCCGAGUGACAGACGAUUGAUGACUGCCCGUUUCUCAUUGUUAUUCUUAUUAUUGUUAUUUCUUGUUAUUUUCAAAAGAGGAGAAUGUUGUUUUUGUUGUUGUCUGCACAGAAGAGAAAGUUGGUUGUUUGUUUGUGGUUUUCCGAGAGACAGACGUUUGAUGACUGCCCAUCUCUCAUUCUUAUUAUUGUUAUUUCUUGUUAUUUUCAAAAGAGGAGAAUGUUGUUUUUGUUGUUGUUUGCACAGAAGAGAAAAUUGUUUGUUUGUUUGUGGUUUUCCGAGAGACAGACGAUUGAUGACUGCCCGUUUCUCAUUGUUAUUCUUAUUUUUGUUAUUUCUUGUUAUUUUCAAAACAGGAGAAUGUUGUUUUUGUUGUUGUUUGCAGAAGAGAAAGUUGUUUGUUUGUUUGUGGUUUUCCGAGAGACAGACGAUUGAUGACUUAGCCUGUUUCUCAUUCUUAUUCUUAUUAUUGUUAUUUUCAAAAG